UCUAGUUCUGCUUGGGAUUAUCUUAACAAGCUAGCUCACCUCGUUAAAGGUUAAUGAGCUAAAAGUCUAGCUCAGCUUGACUCACAAGCUGGCUGAUUAAGCUCAUGAGCUAAAGCCCAACUCAACUAAUUAAAAUGAUGAAUUCGAGUCGACCCAAACUAAUCUUAAUAUAAGCCAAUCUAAUUCAUGAGCUUUGAGCUUUUUGUCCACCCCUAAUCGGUGGUGAUGGUCCUAGGGGUAGCGGAGGCCUUGAUGUCUGGACGGAAGAGGUUUUCCUUAGCGGUGGAGAACCGAGUUUUUGCCAAGAUUUGGUAUUAACAGUAGAAGUGGCAGCAUACGGGCUAGUGGAUUUGAGUCCAAGAGGUGAAGCAAAAGCGGAUCCCGCUAGCUCAUAUCUGUUCUGCUGGUUUUGAUUGGACAAUGACGGAGAAAGGUGGAAGACGGUGGGCGAACUGUCGGCAUGUGGUGUCAUCUCACCUGAGCAGAUGAAGAUGGUACCAACGGAGGUUUGCAGCAAUGUGCAUUAGGGGCGGCG
rnacentral:lncRNA from 1 species